rnacentral:rRNA from 1 species
UACGUAGGGAGCAAGCGUUGUUCGGAUUUACUGGGCGUAAAGGGCGCGUAGGCGGCAAAUCAAGUCAGCUGUGAAAUCUCCGGGCUUAACUCGGAACGGUCAGGUGAUACUGCUUUGCUAGAGUGCGGAAGGGGCAAUCGGAAUUCUUGGUGUAGCGGUGAAAUGCGUAGAUAUCAAGAGGAACACCUGAGGUGAAGACGGGUUGCUGGGCCGACACUGACGCUGACAGCGCGAAAGCGUGGGGAGCGAACAGG